GGUAGAGUAGCGAACAGUGCCCGGAGGCAUUGUUGAAAUUUGAAUUUAAAUUGAAAUUCGCCAGGUGCCAAAUUGUGGCCAAGCCAAGAAAUGAAUUGACACCUACAAUGGUAAGCUCGAUCAGUCUUGAGCAUUAGUCUAAAAGAACUUUAUGUGGUCAUUUUGUUAACGAAAAAAGAAGAUAAAUUUCAGAUGAUAAGAAAUAAAACAAAUAUGAAACGCAAAAGUUUCGGGGUUUGGAUUAGCCACUACAAUCAAAGAUGCAUAGGCGGUCAAACUUUUCAACAAGUUUUGUCACCCACUUCUAUUAACUAAAUAGGGUCCGUUGAGUAAGCAUAAUUGACAAAAAAAAAAAAAA
rnacentral:lncRNA from 1 species